UGGUGGAGUGAUUUGUCUGGUUAAUUCCGAUAACGAACGAGACCCCGUCCUACUUACUAGACUUGAGAUGAUUUUCAUCUCUUGAAUCUUCUUAGAGGGACAACCGGCGUAAAUCUAGCUACAUGAAAUGGGGCAAUAACA
rnacentral:rRNA from 1 species